GGGGCAGUAGCUCAGUUGUAGAGCCCACACUUGGCGUGCGGGAAGACCUGGGUUUGAUUCCCGGCUGCUUCC
rfam:Toxocara canis scaffold757, whole genome shotgun sequence.